GUCUUAUGACUCAUUAAUUUCCACACCUAUCUAGAAAAUUCAAGACUAACAAAACGAAAUUACAAGAGAAAGAAAGAAGAGAAGAGAAGAGAAGAGAAAUUAAGGUAGAAAGAAGGAAAGAGCUACGAUUUUGGGAGGAGAAAAAGCCCAAAACGUUAUCAAACAGCCAAUAAGUUUCAGCUGCGCUAAAGGAAAUUCCGAGGCAAGUUUUGGCGAGUUUUGGUGAAUUUCGGGAAAGGUUCAAGAGACGACGAGGUGAGCAUAGUUAAGAGUAAUCCAUAAGAGGUACAGACGAUUGGUUUGCUGAUCCGCUCGCUUAGGACAUCCACCAUGUUGGUCGACAGUGCUCCUUUGUCCGGAGCCCUAUUUUGGUACUGACACUUUCUGUUGUAUAUAUAUAUAUAAACGUUGUUCAGGG